rnacentral:rRNA from 1 species
AGAGGCGAUGAAGGACGUGCUAAUCUGCGAUAAGCGUCGGUGAGGUGAUAUGAACCGUUAUAACCGGCGAUUUCCGAAUGGGGAAACCCAGUGUGUUUCGACACACUAUCAUUAACUGAAUCCAUAGGUUAAUGAGGCGAACCGGGGGAACUGAAACAUCUAAGUACCCCGAGGAAAAGAAAUCAACCGAGAUUCCCCCAGUAGCGGCGAGCGAACGGGGAGGAGCCCAGAGCCUGAAUCAGUGUGUGUGUUAGUGGAAGCGUCUGGAAAGGCGCGCGAUACAGGGUGACAGCCCCGUACACAAAAAUGCACAUAUUGUGAGCUCGAUGAGUAGGGCGGGACACGUGGUAUCCUGUCUGAAUAUGGGGGGACCAUCCUCCAAGGCUAAAUACUCCUGACUGACCGAUAGUGAACCAGUACCGU